rnacentral:rRNA from 1 species
UACAGAGGGUGCGAGCGUUGUCCGGAAUCACUGGGCGUAAAGCGCACGUAGGCGGCUUUGCAAGUUAGAGGUGAAAGCCCGGGGCUCAACUCCGGAAUUGCCUUUAAAACUGCAUCGCUAGAAUUGUGGAGAGGUAAGUGGAAUUCCGAGUGUAGAGGUGAAAAUUCGUAGAUAUUCGGAAGAAACACCAGUGGCGAAGGCGACUUACUGGACACAUAUUGACGCUGAGGUGCGAAAGCGUGGGGAGCAAACAGG